rnacentral:rRNA from 1 species
AUUGAACGCUGGCGGCAUGCUUUACACAUGCAAGUCGAACAGCAGCGCGGGCUUCGGCCUGGCGGCGAGUGGCGAACGGGUGAGUAAUGCAUCGGAACGUGCCCAGUAGUGGGGGAUAGCCCGGCGAAAGCCGGAUUAAUACCGCAUACGACCUGAGGGUGAAAGCGGGGGACCGAAAGGCCUCGCGCUAUUGGAGCGGCCGAUGUCGGAUUAGCUAGUUGGUGGGGUAAAGGCUUACCAAGGCGACGAUCCGUAGCUGGUCUGAGAGGACGACCAGCCACACUGGGACUGAGACACGGCCCAGACUCCUACGGGAGGCAGCAGUGGGGAAUUUUGGACAAUGGGGGCAACCCUGAUCCAGCCAUGCCGCGUGCGGGAAGAAGGCCUUCGGGUUGUAAACCGCUUUUGUUCGGGAAGAAAUCCUCUGGGCUAAUACCCCGGGGGGAUGACGGUACCGGAAGAAUAAGCACCGGCUAACUACGU